rnacentral:lncRNA from 1 species
GCGGACUCCCUGCAAGCUCCUGGACUUCACGAUGAUCUUCUUGGCGAGUUCCGAUGAGCUUCUUUGGCAAGCUCCUAGACUUCUCGGCGAAUUCCGACAAAACUUCUAACGAACAUUCGGACUUCCGACGAACACUCGAACUCCAAAUGAAAUUUCGUUCUUGACUCCGGGACUUCAUUUUGCUUGAUACCUUAAUUACUAUCAUAGUUAAUCCUGCAUAUAUAAAACCUAAUUCGAUCUAGACAAUUAUUACAAACUAAAUCAAAUGUUGUCCGGUAUGUCAUUGGUUCAUCGAUGCUUCGUCCGAAUCUUCGGUGCAUCGUCCUCUCAUGUAGCCUAUUGCCCAAACGGCCAAUUGACCUCUGCAACUCCGAUUUCCUUAUCGUAAUUUUUGCUCUUCUUGGCCCAAUGCCCGAACCUAUGGCUCGAAGCCUUUUGCCGAUACGUCGACCGAUUCUUCGGCUCAUCGUCUAAUCUUUUGACAUGUUUUUCUUUGGCCCAAUAUGAUUCUUCCUACUUUUAAUUAUCUCUCUCUAAUUGAAGCUUUCUGUAUCACUCAAAACACAAAUCAAAUUAUAAACACUAUCAAUUAAUUUUAUCAUCAAAAUCUAAGAUUUAACAAUAAAAAAUUUAAAAUCAUACUUCAUUAUGUUGCUGUACCGUAUGACCCAUCUGAUUCCUUAACUUAAAUUGUACUAGAUUUUAUGUUGGACCCAAUUAAUUCCAUUUAAUUAGAAAUACUACUCAUGUAAAGUGCCAUGAUAACUAAUCUAUGGCUAAAAAUUCUAAAUUAUAGACCCAUGGGAUUUUUUAGAAACUUUUUUUUAUUUUCUAAUCAAAAUAAAUAUUCUAUUAUAUUUAAUAUAUAUAUAUAUGUAUAUAUAUAUAUAUAUGUAUAUAUAUACAUAUAUAUAUAUAUAUGAUUUUCCUAUAAAAUACUUACAUUUUGCAUAUUUCUGAACCAGUGUCUCGCAUUUUGCUUAUUUUCAAAGAGUGCUCUCAAUUUAAAAAAUAACUUCAAAUAACUUUUAAAAAUAUUUCAAUCAUUAUUUUUAUUUUUUUAACCAAUUCUAAACUGAUAUAGUAUUUUUAUUUGACUUGUUUACAAUGUUCUUAAUAGCAUUUAUAGUUCUUUUUUAGUUAUUAAAAAUACUAUAAAUAUUAUUGAAAUACAUUGUAAAUAAUAUCAUAUUGUGUCUCUUUGGUUGUUCUUACUAGUAAACCAUUAAUACAUCAUAGUUUUAGAUUUGUAGUUAGUUUGAUUGAGGCUUUCAAGUAUUUUUAUUGUGAUGAUCAAAAUAUAACAAAAAGUUAAUUUUUUAUCUCAAUUUAAGUAAUAUUAUUCAUAAACUAUUGUAAUGGCCUUAUAGUGUUUUUGUUGUGGCAUCCUAAAUAUUGUAAUAGGCUAAAGACAUUAUAAGAGGUGGCAAAAUUUUGAAGGAUAAUUUGAGUAUUUUUCAAAUUGUGAGGAUUGUUUGAGGAAAAGAAAAAGAGAGGAUAGUGAUCUAGAAAUACUCAAAAUAUAAAUAUAUUUUAGAGAAAUCAUAUAUAUAUAUAUAUAUAUAUAUAUAUAUAUGAACUCGCUGACGUGCUCGCGGCUUUACUUCCAUAUUAGAGGAGGAAUCUGUUGCCUUUCGUUGUCGCCGGCAACUUUAACUGACCAUUUCCUCGGUUCAUAUCGUCUGUCCUUCUUCGUUAACUUAGGAAAUUGCUUAAUUUCUUUAUUCUUUCUGGAUAACGUCCAGGAAAUUGCUGGAAGUUUCAGCCUCAGGAAUAACAUAAUAUAAACUCGUUCCAUUCAGCCUUGUCGUGUUUGGUGUAGGUGUAUACGUCGGGUUAGAAAGCAGAAGAGGAGAGGAUGGCCAGGUUGCUGAUCUUCGUGCUUGGAGAUCGCUCGUAUGGAGCUGAUUCGACGUCACACAUGACGGGGAUUCUGUUUAUGCUGGGCUUGGUGGCAGCGACGAUAUCCAUCAUGGCAGUCGUCAUCUUCAACUGCGGCGACAGCAAUGAGCCGACGCCUAAUCGCAAGAACAACAUCGGGUACUACGGUGGCGGCGGCGGAUGCGGCGGCGGAUGUGGCGGCGGAGGCGGAUGUGGCGGCGGAGGCGGAGGCGGAGGAUGUGGCGGCGGAGGCGGAGGCGGAGGCGGAGGCUGUUGAUGUGGCGGUGGUUGCUGAGGCCAUCGUUGGCAGACCGCUACUUUGAACUCUUAGCAUCUAAAUAAGCACAAUGCCUAUCUCAUUGGUUCUUUUCUUGAUGCAAUAUAGCUCGUGUAAAUUACAAUUACAAGUGCUAUACAUGUCAUGCAGCCUUUUCUAUUUUCGUCGAUGCUCGUCGUAUACUACUCAUAAGUGACAGUGUUUAUUUCUUUCAAGAUUCAAAGACAACAUACACUACUUUGCUUCUUCGUUCUUAACCAGAUUCCCUCAUGUAGUAGAGUUCAAUCGAUGAAAGCCAAAGUAAUUACAGUUAGUGCUGUCUAUCAACGAAAGUAUUGCCUCCGUUUCUUAUAAGGAAAUGUCUCGUCAUUGAACCAAAAAUAACAGACAGAAGUUUCGCAAAACAAAGAAGUUUAUCAAUAUGUCAGUAUAAUCCUAUCGAGGUAUAAUAAGAAGAUAUCUCGAUGCUUGAAUGAGAGGAUUUCUCAGUAACAAGAACCAAGCAAUUAAGGGAGAUUGAUCAUGGUCAUCACAAUUGUUUUCCUUCCCUUGUGCUUAGGCUACAUCGAGUGAAUAUUUGGUCUCGAUGACAUUUAAUUUGAAAACUAUGUUUUUGGACUUUUUCUAUCGUAUUGUUGCAAUUGAACAGUAUAACUUGUAUCUCUAUUAUGCAUUAUGCAUCAGGAAGCUGCUUGGAAGUUACGAGAUUGACUUUAGUGCUAAUGUGAAAGGCUAGUCAUGUCUAUCUCUAUAUAUUCUGCCUAGAUUGGCCUAAUCCCAAAAAGAAGAAGAUGGUCAGGUUAUAGGUGGCUCUUGUGGAGGAUAAUACAAAUAUAUUAUUUUUAAUCAUAUAUAUAUAAUAUUAUUAUCUGCAUCAUAAUCAUUUAUAAAAUAUGAGAGACUUGUCAAUUUGUAGGCAAAAUAAAGGCUGAAAUAUCAAUAGAUUUAUGAAUAUAGGUAAAACAAACCAUACCUAUUGGAAAACAAUUGCUCAAUUAUCAGCAUCUUGUGGAUGAAGGGGGAGAAAGCUAAAACAUCAGCAACGUGUGGAUGGAAUGAAAGGGGAGAAAGCUAAAAUAGUUGCUGAAUUAUCAGCAACUUGUGCACGAAGGGAGAGAAAGCUAAAAUAUCAACGACAAAGCUAUAGGCGAGAGAAAGCUAAAAUAUAAGCGACUAAAUAUGUAGGUGUAUGUAGAGAAGAACUUGAGCUCUUGGUAAAUAAAUCUCUUCUUCAAAUAUUGGAGUAGUGCUAGAAUAAUUGAAUUGUCCUUAUGUGGCUCUACUUUUUAAAGAUUAAGAUGCAAACGGAAUUUUUGGCUUGUUAAUUGGAUCGAUUAUGGAUAUGUUAUUAUGAAUGGUUUGAGAUUGUGUUUGAAUUGAUUUCAAGCUCGAUCAAGCUUGGCCCGAAUAUGAAUAAAUUGAGUACUGCGAAAGCAUUAAUUUCAGCCUUAAAUUUAAGUUCGGCUUAUAUUUAGCUAAAUUCAUCAGGC